UACGUAGGGGGCAAGCGUUGUCCGGAUUCAUUGGGCGUAAAGAGCGUGUAGGCGGCCAGGUAGGUCGGUUGUGAAAACUGGAGGCUCAACCUUCAGACGUCGACCGAAACCAUCUGGCUAGAGUCCGGGAGAGGAGAGUGGAAUUCCUGGUGUAGCGGUGAAAUGCGCAGAUAUCAGGAAGAACACCCGUGGCGAAAGCGGGCUCUCGUCGGAACGGUACU
rnacentral:rRNA from 1 species